GCGCGUACUAUACGGUCCUAGGUAGCGAAAUUCCUUGUCGGUUAAAUACCGACCUGCAUGAAUGGCGUAACGAGAUGGGAGCUGUCUCAAAGAGGGAUCCAGUGAAAUUGUAGUGGAGGUGAAAAUUCCUCCUACCCGCGGCAAGACGGAGAGACCCCGUGGACCUUUACUACAGCUUGACACUGCUAUUUGGAUAAGAAUGUGCAGGAUAGGUGGGAGGCUUUGAGUAUAUGACGCCAGUUGUAUAUGAGCCAUUGUUGAGAUACCACUCUUUCUUAUUUGGGUAGCUAACCAGCUUGAGUUAUCCUCAAGUGGGACAAUGUCUGGA
rnacentral:rRNA from 1 species